UGAGGAAUAUUGGACAAUGGGCGCAAGCCUGAUCCAGCCAUGCCGCGUGAGUGAUGAAGGCCUUCGGGUUGUAAAACUCUUUGAGUAGGGAAGAUAAUGACGGUACCUACAGAACAAGCCACGGCAAACUUCGUGCCAGCAGCCGCGGUAAUACGAAGGUGGCAAGCGUUACUCGGAAUUACUGGGCGUAAAGCGCAUGUAGGCGGAUAAGUAAGUCAGAGGUGAAAUCCCGGGGCUCAACCCCGGAAUUGCCUUUGAAACUACUUAUCUAGAGUGUAUCAGGGGAUGGUGGAAUUUCCAGUGUAGAGGUGAAAUUCGUAGAUAUUGGAAGGAACAUCGGUGGCGAAGGCGACCAUCUGGGAUACAACUGACGCUGAGAUGCGAAAGCGUGGGGAGCAAA
rnacentral:rRNA from 1 species